UACGUAGGGUGCGAGCGUUACUCGGAAUUACUGGGCGUAAAGCGUGCGCAGGCGGUUCUCCAAGUCCGUUGUGAAAGUCCAGGGCUCAACCCUGGAAUGCCGAUGGAUACUGCGGAGCUAGAGUCCGGAAGAGGCGAGUGGAAUUCCUGGUGUAGCGGUGAAAUGCGCAGAUAUCAGGAGGAACACCAAUGGCGAAGGCAGCUCGCUGGGACGGUACUGACGCUGAGGAGCGAAAGCAUGGGGAGCGAACAGG
rnacentral:rRNA from 1 species